rnacentral:piRNA from 1 species
UCAAUAAAUAGUAGCUGAUGCUCUUGGU